rnacentral:misc_RNA from 1 species
UGUAGGAGUGAGCCUGCUCGCGAUGGCGGUAUGUCAGCCACAUUUAUAUUGACUGACACACCGCCAUCGCGAGCAGGCUCACUCCUACC